GCCACUUACCAAACCACCGCGGGCUUUGCUCAACUUUGGUAUCUUGUGCCAUCCAAUGGCACAUCCCAUCAGAGCCCCAGCUGGUUUCCCCAGGAAGUGAGGCCUGUUGUAAGGAUGACAGUUCUCACAGGGACUGUUCUUCAGACUUUGUGUCCCCUGCUCAUGACCCCUCCACCCCAGCAUUUGAUGGACUGCUCACACGCAGGGCUUGUCUGCUCUGGAGUUACCACUGUGCUGUUCUUGCUCCGUCCAGUGCCCUCACUCUUUUCCCUGCCAGAGGAGUUGCAGCACAUCCCUUCACUUGCAGAUGCUUUGGUGGGUGUCUAAUGGAUAAGGGCUUCUUGUUGUAACAGAAUCACAAUUUCAUGAUUACACCCAAUGAAAUUAAGAGUUCUUUCCUCAGUUGUUUUAAAAAAAACUUCUUAUUUUCCCAGUCAGAAUAGCUCUGGUCAGAGGCAGGUGAGGGAGACAUAUCUGGAAUUCAGUGUGGUGGUUUUCCCUGUCUCUGCCUGUUUCCCUUCGUUUCUUCUGACCUUGCUGAUCUAAGUUAAGAGCUACAGUUUCUACCUGUGGUACAAGCUGGGCCUCUUGCUGUUUCCUUGCCUCUUUGUUCUUUCCAACCUUACCUCCCAUCUGUUGUCUCCUAUCAAUUCCACCUGUACUCUACUCCUUGAUUCCUUCUCAUUCCCUUUGCACUCCUGUACACCCAUGCUUCCUGUCUCUUCUCCACCUUCUUGUCCCUACUUUCCCCCACCUGUUGAGUUGGGCUCUGAGAUAGAAAUACUGAUCCUGUCAUUUAAUCUGCUAGGAAGAGACUUUCUAACUGUCUGUUUGUUUCUGUCCAAACUCCAGAGUCAGACUGCCUAGGUUCAAAUCUCAACUCACCAUACUCCAGCUGUGGCCAUGAACGUGUUACUUUCCCUCUCUAAGCCUUCUUUUCUUCAUCUGAAAAAUGGGGAUCAUAAUGGCGUCCACCCACAGGAAUCUUGUAUGUGAUAACACUAGUGAUGAUGUUAAAGCACCUGGUACAUGGAAAAUACUCAAUAAUCAUUAGUUAGGAUUAUUGUUAUUGCUUCCAACUUCUCCAAGUCGCCGUUUCCAUCUCCUCCCUACCAGCCAUCCUUGUCAGACCAUUUUACACCUGCAUGGAGAUACAUUCCAUUGUGUGCUUAUUUUCCAUGCCUCUCUGCUUCAGUAUAAACUCCCGUUGAGACAUCGUCAUUCCUGGAUUUCCCCAGGCAGUAUCCCCAGGCUCCCUGUCAGCAGCAGAACAUUUGAUGCAUCAGGGCUGCCCCACUGGGCUGUAUGGUAGUUCUGUGAGGGUUGGUUACCUCAUCUUGCUCCUUUUGAGUCACUGAUAGAUUACCUGGCACCUCGUUGGACCAAGCAGGUGUUGCCGCGCGAAGACAGGAGGUGUUGUCCUUACCAGUCGGGAGGAGGGUUCACAUGGGGAGUCUGGUUGGCACAGUGUGGGCUGGGCAUUAUUAGAGUGAGCCCUAAAUGACAAGUUAGUGUGGCCUUGAUCUGAGGGCAGGAGGGGCCACUAAAGGGUUUUGAGCAGAGCAGUGACCGUGAUUUCCCCCUCCACCUGUGGGCCUGUGUCUGCUCUCCUUUAGGGCAAACCACUUGCAAGACUUGCCUGUACUUGCUGUUCCCAUUUCUUGCCUUCCAUUGUGUUUUACAUAUUCCAGUGAGGCUUUUUCAGCGAUGUCCACUAAAAAAUAUUCUUAUUCUUGUCAAGGUCACAGUGAUUUCCCAGCGGCUAACUGCCUCAGCCAGUUCUCAGCAACAUUUUACAUAGCUACAUCAGUCUUCCUUGUUAGAAUAUCCUUUCACAUAGUUGCUCCUGGCUUCCAGGCUCCCCUCCCUCAGAAGCUGCUUCCCCUCUGUCUCUUUUGCCGGCUUCUUUUCUCCCAGACCCCCACCAUGGAAGGCACUGGUGCAGUCCUUAGCCCUCCCCUCUUCUCCAGCCACAGUGUCUCCUUGGUGGCCCCGUCUUCUCUCAAAGCCUUAAGUGCCAUCUCUCUGAGGCUCAGCCUGAACCAGUGCUUUAAAUUUCAGUAUUCUACUGACUACUUCACAUUUCCACUUGGAUAUCUCCUGGGCAUCCCAAACUUAAUGUGUGCAGAGAACACUGAUACCUCCCCGAAUGUGCCAUACCACAGUGGCGUACUGACAGUUCAUUCAUGGAGAUCAGCUCUGAGAGGGAGCGAGACAUAGUGACUCCUUCCUUCAGACUGCUCAGUCUCAGAACCGUGGAGUCAUUCUCAGCUCCUUUCUUACUCUUAUACUCAAUCUCCAGUAAACAAUCUGGACUCUUAACAGUUCUCUUCAACCUCUACUGUUGCCACUGAUCCAGGCCACCAGCUCACCUGGAUGAUCAAUAGCCCUCAGGAGAUCUCUUUGCUUCUUCCCUUGUCCCCCUAAGGAAUAUUAAUCAGUACAGCAACAAGAGGGAUAUUCUAAAAUGUCACUCAAAUCAUGUCUUGCAUUUGCUCAUAACCCUCAGCAUCAAAACCAGUGUCCUACAGGGCUGGGGAGCAUCUCCCCCAACACUUACCCUGGAACUUCAUCUCCACCACUUGGUCUUAGUCACAGCAUGCAGUGAACUGUCUCUACCUUGACUGUGCACUGUUCUCUUGCCUACACUGCUUUUUUCAAAGUUACACAUUUGACUCAUUCUCUCACAUUCUUUAGAUUUUUACUCAAUCACCUUUUCAGAGAGGCCUUCCUUAAUCACUGUUUAAAAUUCCAAACCCCAACCCACUUCUGUAACUUCUUUUUUCCUUCCCUGUUAUAUAUCUCUUCAUCUCACUCACCACUUUCUGAUGUACUGUGUUUUAUUUAUUAAUUUAUGAUGUCCAUCUUCUCCUUCCAGAAUUUCAUAUCAAUGAGGGCAUUUCUCUGUUCAUUUAUGUAUCACCAGUGUCUAAAAUAGUGCCUAUCACACAGUAGUGGCUUAAUAAAUACUUACCAAAUGAGUGAAUAAUCCUUAAAUAUCUAGAGCUAGUUCUGGGAGGAAUGGAUGCAGCCGGCUGGGUGUUGGGAGAAUGUCUGCAGAGACUGUCAGGCGGGGAUCUUACUGUUGUCCUCAUCCACCAGCUGGUGUGCGGUAGGGAGGAAAUGAGCAUUCUCAGGUGGAAAUCAGUCAGCCUUGGGAACUGAUUUCACGUGGCAGGUGCCACAAAUGUAUGCUGAAGUUAGUGGGUGGAAGUUUGAGAAGUAGGAUAUUUGUAUAAUCUCAAAGUAUCUCUCCCAAGGUACUAAAAAGGAAAAAACAGUGACUUUACAGUGGAAAAACCCAGUAGACACUGUCUUAAUCAAAUGAUCAAGACCAAGGUUAACAUCAUCAGUAAUGAGACAGAGCUGUAUGGUGAACCCUUUGCUAUGUUGCACUGGGGUAACCUUUUGAGGUAACCUAGCCAAAAAUGAAGUAACCACCUCUAAUCAUGAAAAAACAUCCUACAAACAAAAAUAAAGGAAUAUUCUUCAAAAGUGUCAAGUUCACGAAAGAUAAAACACAGGAACUGUCACAGAUUGGAGGAGACUAAACAUACAUGAUAACUAAAUGCAACUCCCUCAAACCUCCUUUGAAUCCUGGACCAGAAAAAGGACCAUAGUGGGAAAAACAGGCAUAACUUGAUUAGGAUUAAAGUUUAGUUAAUAGUAUUGUGUAAGAGUUAAUUUUUUGGUUUUGAUCAUUGUACUGUACUAAGAUGUUAAUACUAGAGAAAGUUGGGUUAAGGUUAUAUGAGAACUGAUAUUUUGUAACUUCUCUGUAAGUCUAAAAUUAGUUUAAAAUAAAAAGCUUUAAAAAUC